GGGGUCGGCGCCAUCCUCCGGGGACCAUUGCUCGUUCUCUUUUGAACGGUCUCACUGAGGUCACUUGGAGGCCGUUCCACUCUCUCAUAUUUCUAGACUCUGAUGAAGUUGUCUUGGUUAGAUACUUAUCUGAGAACUAGGUCUUGUUCUGAGGCAUAUGGGGCCAUGUCUGGUACUUGGGAGAGAGAGUCAUACCCCAGUGGUCUGAUGUCAUGUCAUGUCUCUCCCUACCUUCCUCCACCUACCAUGCAUUGCCCAGAGAUCAUCCCUGUGGAUGAGAUUGAGAGUUUGGCAGAUGGAGUAUGGGAUGAAUCAUUUCUCGACUAGGAGGCAGAGACACUAUGCACCUCUCUUGGUCCUGAUGGUCCAAUGGGGAGAACAUGACACGUAGACCCUUCUACUGUUCAGUCGCACGUCAGUGUUGUUGAUCCUUCACAAGUUGGAACCUCUACUAGUGCUAGUGGGUCUUCAGAGUAGCCAACAUCCCCUUCCGUGGCUUUCCUGCUUGGUGCUAUCCCAACGCGACCAACCCUAGCCUCCCUCAUCUUGUGGAGCGAAGCACAUAUGUAGAUGCUUCCCUUGGACUACCCAUUCCUUAUGACUAUGUGUCUCCGGAGAUCUAUUCUGAGAUCAGGAGGAUGUAUUAUGGCUUAUGUGAGGUGAUAGUCGCCAAGGAUGGAAGGAUUGUUGCUUUGGAGAGCUAAGUCAGUUCCUACGAGCAAGAAAUUGCAUAGCAAAAUGCACUGAUUCAGGAUAUGACAGAGGCUGGAGCAGACUGGACUAGCAUCUGCGGGUUCCCCGGUACUCCAUGGGGGUGACUCAAAGUAUGGCUCAGAUGAUGACUUUACUCCUUAGGGACCUGUUCCUGUAGUUCCUACAAGUGUAAACACACACACACACACACACCAUUUUAUUUUGGCAUCUUAUGAGUGGAAAUCUAUC